CUUCGCACUGGAUUUUUCGCACGAUGAGACCGUCUGGGCAUCAUUCUUCGGAUGCGCAGCUACAGCUAUCUACAGAGUAGGUCUCGACCAGGCCGUUGUGCAAAGGUGCAUGGCGUCCCGCACCCUGGCAGAAGCUCAGAGGACGGUUCAAGUAGGAACAUUUCUGCUUGUCACAGCGUACGCAGUACAGCUUUUCAUGUCUCUAGCAUUGAUUUUUUGGUUCAGAGGAUGUGAUCCACAGCUCCGUGGUGCUAUUGCGAGUCAUGAUCAGAUCCUGCCAUUCUAUGUGAAAACAUACCUGGUCCAAUUCAGGGGCUUCAGCGGAAUCUUUCUUGCUUCAAUUGUUAGCGCCGCAUCA